UGAUAAACAUAAUGUGAUGUGCCCUAAACAUGUUUCAAAGAUACUACCAUAUGAUAAUCUAAUUUGCCUUGGAAAGUGGUAGAGUUGGUGAGAGGUCUCGCAAAUCAACCGAGUCCCUUGUAAACAAAAGAACAGAGCGAAGAAAAAGAGAAAGAACAAGAAUUCUGACUUAUUCACGUUUAAAGAAGCUUAACCCCGCUGCACCAUUGGUCUACUCUAGGACAAAUGCCUCAGUCAGUAGCCACAGAAUCGAGAUGUUGCCUCACAGGGAUGGACUGAUAGCUUAGCUCAUUUUGGAUUGUUGUUGGGCUGCUGAUAGCUCUCCAUCGACUGUGGCAUCUGCUUCAUGCCUUUAUAGGCUGAGGUGUCCAUGGUAAGACACUACCAUGUGAUGAUAAGCUGAUUUGCCUUUGGAAAGUGGUAGAGGAAUUGGUGAGAGGUCUCAAGUGCGAUUUGAUGUGGUACUUUGAAAUACGUUGACGGGCCAAAUGUUCCUCUAUCUCUUCAUCAUCAGAGUGCUCAUAAGUAUCAUUAUCAUCUGUAAACAUCUUUACAAUCAUUUGUUUUGCCAGCUGCUAUCAAAUUAUUAAAAACUUCAUUUUCAUCACUUCCAUCAUCCUCAUCAUCAUCCGUAAAUCUCAUCAUGUCAUUAUCACUAUCAUCCUCUUCCUCAGCUUCAUCAUCUAGAAAAUCUUUCAGGAUGGCAUUAUCUGGAUAGAGUAAAUGCUCAUCAUGUUUAGGUUUCUUCCAUCCGAAGCAAAUGUUACUGCAUCACUAUUCCAUCCGAAGCAAAUGCUAUAGAUGGAGCAUGGAAGAGAAGAAAUGCUACAGCAGUGUGCAAAAUUUUGCCCUAUUUUGGGCAGCACGAUUAUUUGGUUCCUUCCCAAUGCAUCGAGAAGCAGUAAACAGCUUCGCAUACCCCAAGGGAAAAAGGAAGUGCACUAUACCAUCCUGUAGUAGCGCACUAGUUUGACCAAAGCAAAGUUGCACUAGUUUCAUCAUCAGAGUGCUCAUAAGUAUCAUUAUCAUCUGCAAACAUAUAUCUUCCCCCGCGUGUGCUUUUGUUCGUCCUUCCUUCUUCUUUUCCCCUCCCUCUCUCCCUUCUUCCUUCCCUCCCGCCUUGGUUCAUUUUUUCCCUCCACAAUCCAUUUCCCUCCUCUUCUCCAUGGCGCCGCACUAGUACCGGGUUGUGGCAGCAACCGGUACUAGAGAGUACCCCCU
rnacentral:lncRNA from 1 species